AUUGAACGCUGGCGGCAGGCCUAACACAUGCAAGUCGAGCGGAUGAAGGGAGCUUGCUCCUGGAUUCAGCGGCGGACGGGUGAGUAAUGCCUAGGAAUCUGCCUGGCAGUGGGGGAUAACGUCCGGAAACGGGCGCUAAUACCGCAUACGUCCUGAGGGAGAAAGUGGGGGAUCUUCGGACCUCACGCUAUCAGAUGAGCCUAGGUCGGAUUAGCUAGUUGGUGGGGUAAAGGCCUACCAAGGCGACGAUCCGUAACUGGUCUGAGAGGAUGAUCAGUCACACUGGAACUGAGACACGGUCCAGACUCCUACGGGAGGCAGCAGUGGGGAAUAUUCGACAAUGGGCGAAAGCCUGAUCCAGCCAUGCCGCGUGUGUGAAGAAGGUCUUCGGAUUGUAAAGCACUUUAAGUUGGGAGGAAGGGCAGUAAGUUAAUACCUUGCUGUUUUGACGUUACCAACAGAAUAAGCACCGGCUAACUUCGUG
rnacentral:rRNA from 1 species